ensembl:snRNA U6 U6 spliceosomal RNA
AUGUUCACUUCAGCAGCAGGUAUACUAAAUUUGGAAUGAUAUGGAUUAGCAUGGUCCCUGUACAAGAACACACAAAUUCGUGAAGCUACUCAUGUUUUG